CUUUGAGUCGUGUGGUAGCGGAGCGUCGAGCGUGCAGCGAAGCGGCGGGACAACCCAGCCGUGGAGCGCGUUCGAGUGCGAAUGUUGGCAUGAGUAGCGAAUGAGGGGUGAGAACCCCCUCCGCCGUAUGUCCAAGGGUUCCUGGGCGAGGCCAAUCCUCCCAGGGUGAGUCGGGAGCUAAGGCGAGGCCGAGAGGCGUAGUCGAUGCACAACUGGUUGAUAUUCCAGUACCACCAUGUUCGCGUCCGUCCCAAUACUCUGUUGCUAAGGGGCUGUGUUGACUUCGGUCAACGCGAACCGACCCACAUUGUUGCGGGAAGCUGUAGGGGGACGCAGGAAGGUAGAUGAACCCGGUGAAUGGUAGAACCGGGGUAAGCGUGUAGGAGGAGGACCAGGUAAAUCCGGGCCUCAUAAACUCUGAGACGUGAUACCGAGCCGCUUCAGGCGAAGUCAUUGAUCCUAUGCUGCCUAGAAAAGCCCAGCAGCGAGUUGACAUGGUGCCCGUACCCCAAACCAACACAGGUGGACAGGUAGAGCAUACCAAGGCGAGUGGGAUAACUAUGGUUAAGGAACUCGGCAAAUUGCCUCCGUAACUUCGGGAGAAGGAGGACCCCAGUAGCGUGAUGAGACUUGCUCUCUGAGCGUGAAGGGGUGGCACAAAAUUGAGGGAAGCGACUGUUUACCAAAAACACAGCAGCGUGCUAAGCCGUAAGGCGCUGUAUACGCUGUGACUCCUGCCCGGUGCUGGAAGGUUACGGGGAUGGGUUAGUCCUUCGGGACGAAGCUCUGAACCUAAGCCCCAGUAAACGGCGGCCGUAACUAUAACGGUCCUAAGGUAGCGAAAUUCCUUGUCGGGUAAGUUCCGACCUGCGCGAAUGGAGUAACGACUUCCCUACUGUCUCAACCAUAGACCCAGCGAAAUUGAAGUACGAGUAAAGAUCUCGUUAGCUGCAGAAGGACGGAAAGACCCCGUGGACCUUUACUAUAACCUGAUGUUGUGUUUUGUCAUAUGUUGUGUAGGAUAGGUGGGAGACUUGGAAGCAUGGACGCUAGUCUGUGUGGAGUCAUCGUUGAAAUACCACCCUGCAUAUGGUGAGGCUCUAACCUAGACCCGUUAUCCGGGUUGGGGACAGCGUCAGGCGGGUAGUUUAACUGGGGCGGUUGCCUCCUAAAGGGUAACGGAGGCGCCCAAAGGUUCCCUCAGCCUGGUUGGCAAUCAGGCGUUGAGUGCAAUGGCAAAAGGGAGCUUGACUGCGAGACCUACAAGUCGAGCAGGAGCGAAAGCUGGGCAUAGUGAUCCGGCGGUUGCGUGUGGAAGCGCCGUCGCUCAACGGAUAAAAGGUACCCCGGGGAUAACAGGCUAAUCUUGCCCAACC
rnacentral:rRNA from 1 species